rnacentral:rRNA from 1 species
UACAGAGGGGGCAAGCGUUAUUCGGAAUUAUUGGGCGUAAAGGGCGCGUAGGCGGUUUUUUAAGUCAGAUGUGCAAUCCCCGAGCUUAACUUGGGAACUGCAUCUGAGACUGGAUGACUAGAGUGCUGGAGAGGGUGGUAGAAUUCCACGUGUAGCGGUGAAAUGCGUAGAGAUGUGGAGGAAUACCAGUGGCGAAGGCGGCCACCUGGACAGUAACUGACGCUGAGGCGCGAAAGUGUGGGUAGCAAACAGG